GGGGUUGUGGCUCAGUGGUAGAGCGCUUGCCUAGCAUGCGUGAGGCAUUGGGUUCGAUUCUUAGCACCA
rnacentral:tRNA from 1 species